rnacentral:miRNA from 1 species
UAUUCAGGAAGGUGUUACUU